rnacentral:rRNA from 1 species
GAUGAACGCUGGCGGCGUGCCUAAUACAUGCCAGUCGAGCGAACGGACGAGAAGCUUGCUUUUCUGAUGUUAGCGGCGGACGGGUGAGUAACACGUGGAUAACCUACCUAUAAGACUGGGAUAACUUCGGGAAACCGGAGCUAAUACCGGAUGAUAUUUUGAACCGCAUGGUUCAAAAGUGAAAGACGGUCUUGCUGUCACUUAUAGAUGGAUCCGCGCUGCAUUAGCUAGUUGGUAAGGUAACGGCUUACCAAGGCAACGAUGCAUAGCCGACCUGAGAGGGUGAUCGGCCACACUGGAACUGAGACACGGUCCAGACUCCUACGGGAGGCAGCAGUAGGGAAUCUUCCGCAAUGGGCGAAAGCCUGACGGAGCAACGCCGCGUGAGUGAUGAAGGUCUUCGGAUCGUAAAACUCUGUUAUUAGGGAAGAACAUAUGUGUAAGUAACUGUGCACAUCUUGACGGUACCUAAUCAGAAAGCCACGGCUAACUACGUG